CAUAUGUACAUGUGUACAGAGACUCUGUGUAUGUGUGAAUGUGUGUACAGACACUCUGUGCAUGUGUACAUGUGUA